GACGAACGCUGGCGGCGUGCUUAACACAUGCAAGUCGAACGAUGACGACCGAGCUUGCUCGGUCUGAUUAGUGGCGAACGGGUGAGUAACACGUGAGCAACCUGCCCUUCACUCUGGGAUAACCUCGGGAAAUCGGGGCUAAUACCGGAUAUGAGCUCCUGUCGCAUGGCGGGUGUUGGAAAGUUUUUCGGUGAAGGAUGGGCUCGCGGCCUAUCAGUUUGUUAGUGAGGUAGUGGCUCACCAAGGCGAUGACGGGUAGCCGGCCUGAGAGGGCGACCGGCCACGCUGGGACUGAGACACGGCCCAGACUCCUACGGGAGGCAGCAGUGGGGAAUAUUGCACAAUGGGCGAAAGCCUGAUGCAGCGACGCCGCGUGAGGGAUGACGGCCUUCGGGUUGUAAACCUCUUUCAGCAGGGAAGAAGCGAAAGUGACGGUACCUGCAGAAGAAGCGCCGGCUAACUACGUG
rnacentral:rRNA from 1 species